AGGAAAAGAAACUAACAAGGAUUCCCCUAGUAACUGCGAGUGAAGCGGGAAAAGCUCAAAUUUAAAAUCUGGCAGUCCCUUUGGCUGUCCGAGUUGUAAUCUAGAGAAGUGUUAUCCGCGCUGGACCGUGUACAAGUCUCCUGGAAUGGAGCGUCAUAGAGGGUGAGAAUCCCGUCUUUGACACGGACUACCAGGGCUUUGUGAUGCGCUCUCAAAGAGUCGAGUUGUUUGGGAAUGCAGCUCAAAAUGGGUGGUAAAUUCCAUCUAAAGCUAAAUAUUGGCGAGAGACCGAUAGCGAACAAGUACCGUGAGGGAAAGAUGAAAAGAACUUUGAAAAGAGAGUUAAACAGUACGUGAAAUUGCUGAAAGGGAAACGCUUGAAGUCAGUCGCGUUGUCCAGGGAUCAACCUUGCUUUUGCUUGGUGUACUUUCUGGUUGACGGGUCAGCAUCAAUUUUGACCAUUGGAAAAAGAUUUGAGGGAAUGUGACAUCUUUGGAUGUGUUAUAGCCCUUGGUUGGAUACAGUGGUUGGGAUUGAGGAACUCAGCACGCCGCAAGGCCGGGUUUUUAACCACGUACGUGCUUAGGAUGCUGGCAUAAUGGCUUUAAUCGACCCGUCUUGAAACACGGACCAAGGAGUCUAACAUGCCUGCGAGUGUUUGGGUGGAAAACCCGAGCGCAUAAUGAAAGUGAAAGUUGAGAUCCCUGUCGUGGGGAGCAUCGACGCCCGGACCAGACCUUUUGUGACGGUUCCGCGGUAGAGCAUGCAUGUUGGGACCCGAAAGAUGGUGAACUAUGCCUGAAUAGGGUGAAGCCAGAGGAAACUCUGGUGGAGGCUCGUAGCGAUUCUGACGUGCAAAUCGAUCGUCAAAUUUGGGUAUAGGGGCGAAAGACUAAUCGAACCAUCUAGUAGCUGGUUCCUGCCGAAGUUUCCCUCAGGAUAGCAGAAACUCAUAUCAGAUUUAUGUGGUAAAGCGAAUGAUUAGAGGCCUUGGGGUUGAAACAACCUUAACAUAUUCUCAAACUUUAAAUAUGUAAGAACAAGCCGUCUCUUGAUUGGACCGCUGGCGAUGAGA
rnacentral:rRNA from 1 species